rnacentral:rRNA from 1 species
UACGUAGGAGGCGAGCGUUGUCCGGAAUCACUGGGCGUAAAGCGCGUGUAGGCGGGCGGGCAAGUCUGCUGUGAAAGCGCCUGGCUUAACCGGGGCGAGGUCGGCGGAAACUGCUCACCUGGAGGGCGGUAGAGGGGGGUGGAAUUCCCGGUGUAGUGGUGAAAUGCGUAGAGAUCGGGAGGAACACCUGUGGCGAAGGCGG